GUAUUUAUAGAAAACAUGAAACUACAUCACCAUUUCUUAAGAACACAGCUAUUGAGACUGAUUUUCUUAGUCUCAAAUCUAAUCUGCUAAUGUGAUUAAUUUGUAACUAGGGGGUCCCCCGCCUUCAUGUGUACCAUGACAGCUUCCUUAAGUAUAUUGUAUUCUAUUAAUAUUUUAAGCUUCAUAUUAGAAAAGAUCAGUUUUCUAUUUCCCUUAAUUAUCACAACCAUCAUUAUCAAAUACGUCCCUUUAGGUACUGCUUUCAAAGGCUGUACUAAUAUUAAACUAAGUGCAUGGCCUUAUCAGAAAACACAGCCAUACUGAGAACAGCAAGGAAGCUUAUGAUAAAUGAUUGUAAGAUAAAAUAGCUGAGAAAUGUUCACAUUUAUUCAUUUAACUCCAUUUUUUUCUGCCACCCACUAUUCAUAAUUCUUUCCCCAAAAUAAUACCAAAGGAAAACAUUUGAGUGACAUAUAAAAAGACAAUCUUUAUUUUAUUCAAACUUUCCUAUAAGAAGUUAAACACAAUGACCCCUAGUUGAAGGCAUUACAAAAAAAUGUUAACAUUGUUUCACAUAUCCCUUUAGUGCCCAGAUGAAGAAAACACUUACCUGAAUGAAAGAAUAAGAAUGUACAUUCUUACAGUAGAUUUACUUAAGUAUGCGGAAGGGGGGGGAGAUACAUAUAGGUCAAACAUAAAACAGUAAUGAACCUACUAGUUUCCUCCAGGUGAUGAGAAUUCCACUGAUGUACAGGAUGAUACAAAAGUACAUUUACAGUUGUAAGUACACAAAACAUAGUUUAUUUUUGUAUUAUUAUUAUUAUUAUAUUAUUAUUUUCAUAUGAACAACUGUAAACCUACUUUUGCCCCACCCUGUAUUAAAUUCUCCAAAAGCUCCCAAGACCUGGGGAUCACUCUUCAACAAUUAAAAAACAGCUAUAGCUAGCUAAUCCCAUAACUCAUUGUCCCUUUCCCUCAACUAUUUUGCUACCCCCUCCCCCCCAAAAAUACUAUUUUACUGCUAACAAAUGAGAAUGAAAAAUACAAUUUCCCCACUCCCAAGAUGCAUGACUAUCAGUAUCACUAGCUCCUUGGGUAAACAGUAUCAAAGCACACCCUCACCGCAUUGCCAUCUACAUAGAGUAAGAGGAAAAAUGGCUUUGGGUGAUGCAUUUCAGUGUUCUGCCUCCCAGAAUUAUAAAAGACCUGGCUAGGAUAUAAUUUCAUUUCUACAAAGGAAGGCCAAGGUGUUGGGGUUUUUUGUUUUUGUUUGUUUGUUUUUUUGUUUUUGUUUUUUAGAAAACAGUAGAACCCAGUGGAACAUCCAUGCCUGUCUUCCAGGCUCAAUCUGACCUCAAAAAUAAAAGUGCAGGGAGGCAAUAGCUUGGCAUCUACUAUUGCUCUGAACCCCAAUUUCCUCAGAAAAGCUGGGGACACAGUGCUCCUCUUCUGCAGUGCAAGCAGGUUGCUACUUUCCCCCAAACCUGUGAAGAGCAUGGAUCUCUGAUCUCCCUUCCCCUAACAGCAGGAAUUAUAAGCAGCACCAUCUGGUUAAUACCAAUGGAUGAAUAUUUGGAGAACUGGUGAUACAAACUUCUCAAAUUCUCACUAGUAAUCUAACCCUAUCUUUGUAAAGAGAGAAACACUAGGAGGGCAAUAUCAUUUCCAUACUUUAAAUUUGGAGGAAGUAGGGGUCGGGGGAAUAUAUGUUGUGGGGAUGGGUGAGAAUGGAACCCUAGCAUAUGCAAAAAUUGCAUACAAACAUUGGAGCCUUGGAUGCUGGCUAGCUGUACAAGACACAAAACCUAAUAACUAUUUGUGACAAUAAAGGAAAAGAGGGAAACACAGCUAAUUCUUUUUAUUAAGCAAAUAGCAAAGUUCUAAGUGAAGGUUAUAUCUCCUUUCUGUUUAGAAAGUAUAUAGAGAAAUAGUAAAUGCUGAAAACCAUCAAAUAAAUGCAGACCCAUACAGAACUUACAAAAUAUGCAAAAACUUGUCAUUGUUUCUAAGUCAACUCACAAUUUACAAAUCACUCCCUGCUCCUCCAGGUAUUCUGAGCAGAUUUAUAUUCUAAUAUCCAAUGAAAGGGGAAAUCAGGUGUGGGAACGGGGAAUUAAAAGGUCUGAAAAAUGACUGGUGGAGAAAAAGAAAGUGGUAAGAACCAGAUUGUCAACCCUUCGACAGAGGUGCCUCACACCUGGGAGCCUAGCACAAACUGGACACAUAGCAAAUACUUGAUUUUAGUAGUAGAGGUGAAG